rnacentral:tRNA from 1 species
GGAAAUAUAAAAAUUAAUUAGCCGCUAACUAAUAAAAAAGCCCUUAGGUUUAUUUCCU